UCUCCGUUGGUGAACCAGCGGAGGGAUCAUUACCGAGUUAUACAACUCCCAAACCCCUGUGAACUUACCUAUAACGUUGCUUCGGCGGGAAACCGACGGCCCCGUAAGACGGGCCGCCCCCGCCAGAGGACCCCCUAACUCUUGUUAUAUCCUGUUUCUCUGAGUACAACAAGCAAAUAAAUUAAAACUUUCAACAACGGAUCUCUUGGCUCUGGCAUCGAUGAAGAACGCAGCGAAACGCGAUAAGUAAUGUGAAUUGCAGAAUUUAGUGAAUCAUCGAAUCUUUGAACGCACAUUGCGCCCGCCAGUAUUCUGGCGGGCAUGCCUGUCCGAGCGUCAUUACAACCCUCAGGCCCCCGGGCCUGGUGUUGGGGAUCGGCGGAGCCCUCCGGGGCACACGCCGUCCCCCAAAUUCAGUGGCGGUCUCGCUGCAGCCUCCAUUGCGUAGUAGCUAACACCUCGCAACUGGAAGGCGGCGCGGCCACGCCGUAAAACCCCCCAACUUCUGAAUGUUGACCUCGGAUCAGGUAGGAAUACCCGCUGAACUUAA
rnacentral:rRNA from 1 species